ACACGUGAGCAACCUGCCCCUGACUCUGGGAUAAGCGCUGGAAACGGCGUCUAAUACUGGAUAUGUGACGUGACCGCAUGGUCUGCGUCUGGAAAGAAUUUCGGUUGGGGAUGGGCUCGCGGCCUAUCAGCUUGUUGGUGAGGUAAUGGCUCACCAAGGCGUCGACGGGUAGCCGGCCUGAGAGGGUGACCGGCCACACUGGGACUGAGACACGGCCCAGACUCCUACGGGAGGCAGCAGUGGGGAAUAUUGCACAAUGGGCGCAAGCCUGAUGCAGCAACGCCGCGUGAGGGACGACGGCCUUCGGGUUGUAAACCUCUUUUAGCAGGGAAGAAGCGAAAGUGACGGUACCUGCAGAAAAAGCGCCGGCUAACUACGUGCCAGCAGCCGCGGUAAUACGUAGGGCGCAAGCGUUAUCCG
rnacentral:rRNA from 1 species